rnacentral:lncRNA from 1 species
AAUUAGGAUGGAGUGAUUGAAAACAAAGUCAAUGAGAAGUUGAGAUCUAUCUUCAGUAGGAUUUUAGCUUUUUGAUGAUUAUUUUCAUUAGUUAUAUCUAUUUUGGGAAAGAUGUAUCCGCUUUUGAGUAGAAUAAGAUUUUGGUCUGAAUUCUAUAAGAAGAGACCUCACUAGUAUGGACAGAGGCUAUGCAUCUUAAUUUGUGACUCACCAAUAAAGAAAAGGACUUGGACCCUACUAUCACCAAUCUUUUCCAUCUUUCCAUAAUUUUCUUAAAAGAGAUUUGUGCUGAG